GUUAAUCCAGGGUUCCGGUUUCCCCUCCGUCUCCUCCGGUGUGUGCGGGGCCUGUGGCAGCAGCCGCCUCCUCCUCCUCCUCCUGCAUGUAUUGCUGAAACUGCUAAACCGCAACCAAUUUAUAUGAAACUUAUUGAAAGAGCUAUAAUAUACAAUUCCACAUUCUUCUACUGUGAGACCUGCCAUACCAGAUACACAGAAGCUUCCAGCUUUCCCUACUGUUAUGAUGACGUAAUCUAAUGAACUUUGCUGUCACAAUGUUGAGUCAAAAAGACUUUCAAGGACUAUUGAGCAAGGACUAUGGACAUUAUAAUGAUUCCAUCUUCAGAAGAUACCUCUAAUUUAUGAACUCUUAUAAUAAUUUAAAAGUUAGGGAUAAGAGAAUAGGGAACAUUGAUUCUGCAUGAGUAUAGGGGUGUUGAAUGGAUUAGCCCAUGUCUCGAGUGCCCUUAAGGCACACUUGAUGUAAAAGUAGGUGUCCCUAUAGAAUCCAUGGCCAGGUAAAGGAAGGGUAGAAUAGAGGUAAAAAUUGUAAACAAAGAGGGGAAAUUGAUAAAGAUGGAAACCAUCUUUGUUCAUAAACUCCAUAUUGCUAAGCUGUUUAUAAUUGUUUAUCAGAUCAGAGUUGAUAUUGGAAUGAACUGCAAGGCGUUGCACUUUGAGUGAACUAUAUUGAAACCUUCUUAUGAUCUAUUUUUAUUACUUUUCUGAGUAAAAUAUAAAUGUCAGCAGCUAGACAUAUAGACUUCACAGGUGUCCAGUAGUUUGCGGUAUGGAAGGUGUGAAAACAUAACUAAACAUAGCAUGUCUCACUUUUAGCAAAAUUCCCCUAACUAACCCAUUUAAAAGCACAUACAGUAUAAAAAAUAUAGACGUUGGCAAAUAUAUUACGUAUAAGAUAGGAGUUUUAUUAACCAAUAGGAUUAAGCUUUGUGUAAGGAAAUUACGACACUGUAUGCAAAUAUGUAUUCCUUCAUAAUAUGCUGUUUCCAGGAAAUAAAAGCUGCUUCUGCUA